rnacentral:rRNA from 1 species
CGGACGGGUGAGUAAUGUCUGGGAAACUGCCUGAUGGAGGGGGAUAACCACUGGAAACGGUAGCUAAUACCGCAUAACGUCGCAAGACCAAAGAGGGGGACCUUAGGGCCUCUUGCCAUCGGAUGUGCCCAGAUGGGAUUAGCUUGUUGGUGGGGUAACGGCUCACCAAGGCGACGAUCCCUAGCUGGUCUGAGAGGAUGACCAGCCACACUGGAACUGAGACACGGUCCAG